UUUUAAAAGAAGAUUUCUUCGGAUUGACUCUUUUAUUAUCUUAGCGGCGGACGGGUGAGUAACGCGUGAGAAACCUGCCUUUCACAAAGGGAUAGCCUCGGGAAACUGGGAUUAAUACCUUAUGAUACUUUUAGAUAGCAUUAUUUAAAAGUCAAAGCGUAAAGCGGUGAAAGAUGGUCUCGCGUCCCAUUAGCUAGUUGGUGAGAUAAAAGCUCACCAAGGCAACGAUGGGUAACCGGCCUGAGAGGGUGAACGGUCACACUGGAACUGAGACACGGUCCAGACUCCUACGGGAGGCAGCAGUGGGGAAUAUUGCACAAUGGAGGAAACUCUGAUGCAGCGACGCCGCGUGAACGAUGAAGGCUUUCGAGUCGUAAAGUUCUGUCCUAGGGGACGAUAAUGACGGUACCCUAGGAGGAAGCCCCGGCUAAUUACGUGCCAGCAGCCGCGGUAAUACGUAAGGGGCGAGCGUUGUCCGGAAUUAUUGGGCGUAAAGGGUUCGCAGGCGGCCUUUUAAGUCAGAUGUGAAAUCUCACGGCUUAACCGUGGUAAGCAUUUGAAACUGGAAGGCUUGAGUUAAGGAGAGGAAAGUGGAAUUCCUAGUGUAGCGGUGAAAUGCGUAGAUAUUAGGAAGAAUACCAGUGGCGAAGGCGACUUUCUGGACUUAUACUGACGCUGAGGAACGAAAGCAUGGGGAGCAAACAGGAUUAGAUACCCUGGUAGUCCAUGCCGUAAACGAUGAGUGCUAGGUGUUGGGGGUCAAACCUCGGUGCCGCAGCUAACGCAUUAAGCACUCCGCCUGGGGAGUACGUACGCAAGUAUGAAACUCAAAGGAAUUGACGGGGACCCGCACAAGCAGCGGAGCAUGUGGUUUAAUUCGAAGCAACGCGAAGAACCUUACCAGGGCUUG
rnacentral:rRNA from 1 species